UCCGGCCUUACCGCCGCGGCGUGCGGGGGGCAGCGGAACGCCGGGGCUUUCCUUGCUCUUCGCGUUUCCCAAAUACCCGGCGGGGAGGAGGAACGUUAGGCAUCGUCUUCCUACUUCAGAAGUGUCUGGGGGUAUUACACAGGACUCGUACCGGCUGUUUCCGAUUUGAUGUUCCCAGCGUGGCAAGGCCUCGUGGCUGUGGUAGCGUCCCCCCCCAGGAUUCAUGCAGGCGAAUGUAUGCGCACAAGCGUGUCUGUAAUCCUGGCACUCAGCUCUGGUCUUGCGCGCUGUCCGUCAUCCCUAAGUAAAAAUGCUGGGUUUGGGUUUUGCAUUGUCCCGAAAGGGAAGCCUCUGGGUCUGGCUGUCAGGUGCUUGUUUGCUGUGGAGUAUUCAUGUUUUUCAGAAAGCAUUCCAAAUAGAAUUGUGGGUUUGUUUAGUCCUUCCAGGUUUUUUUUCCCUCUUUUGGGGGGCAGGGCAGAAUAAGGGUCUUUGCAGGGACCUGGGAAAUGAAGUAUUUAACACAGUAAAGUUUAAAGCAUUUGCUUUACAGAAGGUUUCUCUGUACCCACCAUGUCAGCUGGUCAUUAGCAGUGACUGGUGUUCAUGAGUACCAUGUUGAAGUGUGAAUAUUCAUUAGUGAACUAACUCUGGCUUGGUUCUGUGUAGAAAGGAGACAAACUACAAAGCAGCCCCCCAAAACAUCCCCUCCUUUUUUUUUUUGUCUUAAACAUACCGUGUUUGCAGCUCUCUGUUGUCAGACUGGCAAAGCCUCCCAAGCUCUAUUCCCCCAUAGUCACCAGAAGUCUCCAAUACUUGCCAGGAUGGUGAGUUAGUUUUGGGCUUCUAGCCCUCCAUUCCUCUAUUAUUUUAGUCAGAUCCUGAAUUCCACUCAGUUAAAGACUCAUGAGAAUUGCUUAAAAUUUGCAUUUGGAAGUCAUGCCUCAGACAAUGAAUUUGCAAAAAAAAAUAUUUUUUUUUUUUUUUUUUUUUUUUUACACUAGUACUACUGUAAUGCUCGAGCAAAAUGACACUUUCAGUGGUGGCUGAAUCACUGAGUGAUGCCACAGACAUCCCUGUUUGAGCCUUUACCGCAGCCAGUGCAAUGUUUGUUUAUACGCUGCUUGGUCCUUUUGUAAAGACGUAUAGCUGUGGGCGGUGCAUUAUUCCAGAGGUGCUGCUGCUCUGAUGCUCUGUAUGUUCACAGUAAUGGGUAAAGCGGAAGGCUCUGUGGCUAGGGAAGAAUGGCAUGGACAUGUUACUGCUCUCUCUGUUGCACCAGAAUUUCGGCGGCUGGGUUUGGCUGCGAAGUUGAUGGAACUACUGGAAGAAAUUUCAGAAAAAAAGGGUGGGUUUUUCGUCGACCUCUUUGUGAGAGUAUCAAAUCAGGUUGCAGUAAAUAUGUAUAAGCAACUGGGCUACAGCGUCUACCGGACAGUAUUAGAGUACUACUCUGCUAGCAAUGGAGAGCCAGAUGAAGAUGCUUAUGAUAUGAGAAAAGCUCUUUCCAGAGAUACGGAGAAGAAAUCAAUUAUACCUCUGCCUCAUCCUGUGAGGCCAGAAGACAUUGAGUAACUAAUGUCAACUGCCACCAUUUCACCGUGGUCACCCUUUCUUCUGCCAUGGAAGUACAAGCCAGGUGGAAAGGAUCCACAGUGGUCUGUGAGUACAAGGCUUUCCCAAGAAAUAUUAGCAGCCAUGUAACCAGCAACAGUGAGUCGUGAUGUGGCUUUGAUGUCUUGUUGUAAGCCUCUCGUGAUGCUCAGCAGGUACCCCCAGCCCAGGUUUGCCUGCCGGUUGGUAAGCACACAGGCGGUAAAGGGCCAGCCCUGUCUCCGGCGGGCGCCCUGCAGGUGCGGUGAGGGCUGUCUGGGGAGGUGGGGGGGGCAACAUUUGGUGCCCUGGGGAGCCCGUCCCCGGGUGGGAAUGGAGGGGGAGCAGCUGGGAGCAGGGAUGUGGCACCAUCCUCUGUCACACACACCCUCUCUGUGGGGCAGCCACCACCCUGCAGGACCCGAGGGGGCUGCAACCUCUUUGGGGGGCUGGCUCCCAUUUAUUUUUCUAGCAGAGGCCCCCUUUUUGAGGAGGGUAUGUACAUAUAUAAAUGGCAUUAUUAAAGUAAUGAGCUGCCAUUCGGGGCUGUUUCCCUCAUUUUGUGCCUUUUUUUAGGGUGAAUAAAAAGGGAGGAGUGUGUGUGGGGUGUGAUGAUGUCAUUUGGGGCACCCAGCAUCAUGGGGGGGGGUGAUGAUGUGGCAGGGGAGCAGGUGAGUGUGGGAUGGGGCGGUAUUUCCACAGAGGUGCUGCACAAGGGGCUGGACCUGGAGGAGCUCGGGAGGUGUCGAGGGUUUUUUGGGGGUCCCUGAGGGAAUCUUGGGGUCUGUGAACAGAUUUGGGGGCUUAGUGAGGGGCUUUGAGGCUUUAUGAGAGGUUUUGGGGGUCUGUAAGCAGGUUUUGGAGGACUCUUGAGGGGGUUUGGGGCUCCAGCGACCACUUGAAGGGGCAGAGAGAGAGGCCCUGCGGCAGUGAAGGUCUCCUGCAGUGAGUUGUGCAUCCAGGCCUAUCCCAGCUGUCCUGGUUUUCGAUGGAUUAGAGUUAAAUUUUCUUCCUAGUAGCUGGCAUAGUGCUGUGUUUUGGGUUUAGUAUGAGAAGAAUGUUGAUGAUAACACACUGAUGGUUUAGUUGGUGCUAAGUAGUGCUUGCACCAGUCAAGGGAUUUUUCAGCUUCCCCCGCUCUGCCAGCGAGAA